rfam:Rattus norvegicus chromosome 6, whole genome shotgun sequence.
GGGGAUUUGGCUCAAUGGUAGAGCGCUUGCCUAGGAAGCACAAGGUCCUGGGUUUGAUCCCCAGCCCCG